rnacentral:rRNA from 1 species
UACAGAGGUCCCAAGCGUUGUUCGGAAUUACUGGGCGUAAAGGGCGCGUAGGCGGCCUGCUAAGUCGAACGUGAAAUCCCUGGGCUCAACCCAGGAACUGCGUCCGAUACUGGUUGGCUUGAAUCCGGGAGAGGGAUGUGGAAUUCCAGGUGUAGCGGUGAAAUGCGUAGAUAUCUGGAGGAACACCGGUGGCGAAGGCGACAUCCUGGACCGGUAUUGACGCUGAGGCGCGAAAGCCAGGGGAGCAAACGGG